GCAACGGGUUUGCCGUCAGAACGCAGGUAUUGUGAAAGCCACCGCUAAUUCAAAGCAAAAAUGGGAAAGGAAAAGACUCACAUCAACAUCGUCGUAAUCGGACACGUAGAUUCCGGCAAGUACACCACAACCGGCCACCUGAUCUACAAAUGUGGUGGGAUCGACAAGCGAACCAUCGAAAAGUUUGAGAAGGAGGCUGCUGAGAUGGGAAAGGGCUCCUUCAAGUACGCCUGGGUCUUAGACAAACUGAAAGCUGAGCGUGAGCGUGGUAUCACUAUUGACAUCUCCCUGUGGAAAUUCGAGACCAGCAAAUACUAUGUGACCAUCAUUGAUGCCCCAGGACACAGAGACUUCAUCACUGCUUGUGGACGUUGGUACAGAGAGAUGCAAAAGAGCCGAAGAGCAACUGGUAGUUUGCACAUAGCAUACAGAGAAAAGUGGGCGCCCACAGUUCCUGAUCCGGUGACAGAGGAGUUGAGAGUGAAUGGUGAACGCUUUGACCAGCCGGGUGGUGAUGGUCACGAUGGUUGA